rnacentral:rRNA from 1 species
GAACGCUGGCGGCAGGCUUAACACAUGCAAGUCGAACGCGUGUAGCAAUACACGAGUGGCGCACGGGUGAGUAACGCGUGGAUAUCUGCCUUUUGGUUCGGAAUAACCCCGGGAAACUGGGGCUAAUACCGGAUGGUUCCUACGGGAUAAAGAUUUAUCGCCAAAAGAUGAGUCCGCGUACGAUUAGCUAGUUGGUGAGGUAAUGGCUCACCAAGGCGACAAUCCGUAGCUGGUCUGAGAGGACGACCAGCCACACCGGAACUGAGACACGGUCCGGACUCCUACGGGAGGCAGCAGUGGGGAAUAUUGGACAAUGGGGGAAACCCUGAUCCAGCGACGCCGCGUGUGUGAAGAAGGCCUGCGGGUUGUAAAGCACUUUUAGUGGGGACAAAAAGCUACGGACUAAUACUCUGUGGUCUUGAUUUAACCCAAAGAAAAAGCACCGGCUAACUCUGUGCCAGCAGCCGCGGUAAUACAGAGGGUGCGAGCGUUAAUCGGAAUUACUGGGCGUAAAGCGCGCGUAGACGGUUUUGUAAGUCAGAUGUGAAAUCCCUGGGCUCAACCUGGGAACUGCAUUUGAAACUGCAUGGCUAGAGUAUGGAAGAGGGAAGUGGAAUUUCCGGUGUAGCGGUGAAAUGCGUAGAUAUCGGAAGGAACACCAGUGGCGAAAGCGACUUCCUGGUCCAAUACUGACGUUCAUGUGCGAAAGCGUGGGGAGC